UAUAAUAUAGUGUAAACUGCACAUAGGAUUUUGAUUCCUAAAGAAGAAACUCUCUUAUUAUAA
rnacentral:tRNA from 1 species